rnacentral:rRNA from 1 species
ACACAUGCAAGUCGAGCGCACUCUUCGGAGUGAGCGGCGGACGGGUGAGUAACGCGUGGGAACGUGCCCUUUGCUACGGAAUAGCCCCGGGAAACUGGGAUUAAUACCGUAUACGCCCUAUGGGGGAAAGAUUUAUCGGCGAAGGAUCGGCCCGCGUUAGAUUAGGUAGUUGGUGGGGUAAUGGCCUACCAAGCCGACGAUCUAUAGCUGGUUUGAGAGGAUGAUCAGCCACACUGGGACUGAGACACGGCCCAGACUCCUACGGGAGGCAGCAGUGGGGAAUCUUAGACAAUGGGGGAAACCCUGAUCUAGCCAUGCCGUGUGUGUGAUGAAGGCCCUAGGGUCGUAAAGCACUUUCGCCUGGGAAGAUAAUGACGGUACCAGGUAAAGAAACCCCGGCUAACUCCGUGC